AUGGGUGAAGGAUAAUUCUGUGCAUUUGA
rnacentral:piRNA from 1 species